AGACGAACUGUCCAAACGUUAUUCGGAAUCACUGGGCUUAAAGGGUGCGUAGGCGGACCUGCAAGUGGGAUCUGAAAUCCCUCGGCUCAACCGAGGAACUGGGUCCCAAACUGCCGGACUAGAGUGAGACAGGGGGAAGUGGAACUUGCGGUGGAGCGGUGAAAUGCUUUGAUAUCGCAAGGAACACCGGUGGCGAAGGCGACUUACUGGGUCUUAACUGACGCUGAAGCACGAAAGCCAGGGUAGCGAACGGGAUUAGAUACCCCGGUAGUCCUGGCUGUAAACUCUGAGUACUUGGUCGGAGGGGCCUCCAUACCUUUCCGGCCGUAGCGAAAGUUUUAAGUACUCCGCCUGGGGAGUAUGGUCGCAAGGCUGAAACUCAAAUGAAUUGACGGGG
rnacentral:rRNA from 1 species